AUGUAGCAAUGGGUUGCAAAGCAUGACAGAAAGGUCAUGACACACAGAAUCCCAGAGCUGACUGGGGAAGGUUCCAAACUGUUGAGGAGACUGUUGAACUCAUUUGGGGGUUUGCAACUGAGAUAGAAGCUCGAGGUUGCUGAUCUGUGCUCCUGUGGACAUCUCUGGAUCAUACUGCAAGCAGCCCUCUGGACAAUAGUGGAUAGGAGUGUCCCAAUUAUCCUUGGGUGGACUCGGGGAAAGAUUGGGAGCUCCAGUCAUUCUCUAGAUCAUCUAGGACUCCUCAUCUGGACCCCAGCCUCUACUUGCCAAAAGACUAUUUGAAACAGUGGACUUAAGAAAAUGACUAAUGAGAAAACCAAAGUUGAAUAGGAAAUGUUACAUUCAAACAAACUCAAGAGGAAUACAAAAAGUGCUGAAGGUGACUUUGAACAACAGAAGUCAAAUGAUAAGAAGGAAUUUCUGAAAGAAGCACCCACUUUGGCUUAUCCCACCUUUUUGAUGAAAAGAGGUAGCCAUCUCCUAAGUUACUUUUGUUUAUACCAUAGAUAUUAUCAUCUCCUGAACUAUACAGGCCACACUCUCCUUUCUUCAGGACAUAGCACAACUCCCAUCACCCCAUCUCUGGCCAUGAAUUUUCUCAUUACCUCAUUAUCACAUCUCUAUUCACAUAGUCCCUGUUAUCAAGAGGCUAUAAGAAUCCCAGACCCCAUCUCUUCUGGAAGGUAGCAUUACACUUCCUCCUGGCUCCUGGCCACUCAACCCAAUAAUUCAACUUGCAUUAAAGUUAAUAUUUUUUUUCUAUUUUUAAACUAAUUACUGAAGCCUUGAAAUCCCUGUAGUAGGUGUUCCUUCUGGUCCAGGUUUCCUUAUCAACUCUCCCACAUCACUAUAUAGAUGUGAUUCAAUUUCCCCAAUAGUAUAUAAAACUAAUUAAUCUUGUCACAAAUAUUGAAGAAUUAAAAAAAUGUUU
rnacentral:lncRNA from 1 species